rnacentral:pre_miRNA from 14 species
CGGACAGAGCAGGCUAUGCACGUGUCAGUCACGCGUAUUCUCGGGUUGAUAAUACAUUCGUGAUGUUAUUGCUUGAGAAUACACGUAGCUCACUCGAUGCUCGAAACAACUCGGCACG